rnacentral:lncRNA from 1 species
CGCCCCAAGCGCUGCUCGCUAGGACGACGCCCCUGUCCUGCCUCCCUACAGGGCCAUCCCCAGAUGAGGCUGCAGCAUUGCCCCGUGUGCUCUCAGCUGGUGCCAGUGUUGUCUGGAACUGUCUGGACCUACCUGGAAACUGAGUGUUUCUCUGAAGAAGUCUGCAGCCCUUUGGCAGCGUGGCUGCAGAUGGAAGGAAGGAAACAGUUCGCCCUGGAGAAUGGCUAGGCAGCACCUCUGAGCCGAGCAUCCC